UAAUAAUAAUAAUAAUAAUAAUAAUAAUAAUGUUAUAUUUUUCUUUUUGGGCUCCUUAAUUUCUAUUUCUUCUCUUUUUUUGUAUAUUUAAAUCUAUUCUGUGUCACCUUUGUCCAGCAGGAUUCAAUUCCAGCAGCUUGAAAACUGGCUUAAAAAUUAAAGACAUUGUUUUGAGGGAUAAAAUAAUUCCUUUAAAGCCCCAUUUGCACCCUUUCCAGGCAGAUUUUUCCCUCUUUCCAGGCAAUUUUUUCCCAUUUCCAGGCAGAUUUUUUCCCAUUUCCAGGCAAAAUUUUUCCCUCUUUCCAGGCAGAUUUUUCCACUUUUCAAAUACAUUUUUUUCCUCUUUCCAGGCAGAUUUUUCUCUCUUUUCAGACAGAUUUUUUCCCCCUUUCCAGGCAGACUUUUCCCCCUUUUUAGGAAAUUUUUCCCCCUUUCCAGGCAGAUUUUUCCCUCUUUCCAAGCAAUUUUUUCCCAUUUCCAGGCAAAAUUUUUCCCCCAAAUCCCAGUGAUGCCCCCNAAUCUGUGAGGUGAAAAUUUUAAAAAUGGAAACUUGUGAGGUGGGAAUUGGGAAAAGGAGGGCCUGGGAGGUGGAAAUUGGAAAAAAAAUGUAAUCUGUGAGGUGAAAAUUUAAAAAUGGAAGCUUGUGAGGUAGAAAUUGGGAAAAGAUUGGGAAAAGGGGAACUUGUGAGGUGGAAAUUGGAAAAAGAGGAGCCUGUGAGGUGAAAAUUGGAAAAAAGGGGAUCUGUGAGGGGAAAAUUUUAAAAAUGGAAGCAUUUGAGGUGUGAAUUGGGAAAAGGAGGGCCUGGGAGGUGAAAAUUGGAAAAAAGGGGAAUCUGUGAGGGGAAAAUUUUAAAAAUGGAAGCCUGUGAGGUGGAAGUUGGGAAAAAAUUGGGAAAAGGGGAACUUGUGAGGUGGAAAUUGGAAAAGUGGGAACUUGAGGGGUGGAAAUUGGAAAAAGAGGAGCCUGUGAGGUGAAAAUUGGAAAAAGGGGAAUCUGUGAGGGGAAAAUUUUAAAAAUGGAAGCCUGUGAGGUGUGAAUUGGGAAAAGGAGGGCCUGGGAGGUGGAAAUUGGAAAAAAGUGCAAUCUGUGAGGUAAAAAUUUAAAAAAAAAUGGAAACCUGUGAGGUGGAAAUUGAAAAAAGGGGGAAUCUGUGAGGGGAAAAUUUUAAAAAUGGAGGCUUUUGAGGUGUGAAUUGGGAAAAGAUUGGAAAAGGGGAACUUGUGAGGUGGAAAUUGGAAAAGGGGGCAAACUUGAGAGGUGGAAAUUGGAAAAAGAGGAGCCUGUGAGGUGGAAAUUGGAAAAAAGGGGAAUCUGUGAGGGGAAAAUUUUAAAAAUGGAAGCAUUUGAGGUGUGAAUUGGGAAAAGGAAGGCCUGGGAGGUGGAAAUUGGAAAAAAAUGCAAUCUGUGAGGUAAAAAUUUAAAAAAUGAAAGCUUGUGAGGAGGAAAUUGGGAAAAGGGGAACUUGUGAGGUGGAAAUUGAAAAAAGGGGGAAUCUGUGAGGGGAAAAU
rnacentral:lncRNA from 1 species